CAGCACCUCAAGUGGUCAGGAUGAUUAUUGGGCCUAAAGCAUCCGUAGCCGGCUCUGUAAGUUUUCGGUUAAAUCUGUAUGCUCAACAUACAGGCUGCCGGGAAUACUGCAGAGCUAGGGAGUGGGAGAGGUAGACGGUACUCGGUAGGAAGGGGUAAAAUCCUUUGAUCUAUUUAUGACCACCUGUGGCGAAGGCGGUCUACCAGAACACGUCCGACGGUGAGGGAUGAAAGCUGGGGGAGCAAACCGGAUUAGAUACCCGAGUAGUCC
rnacentral:rRNA from 1 species